UUUGGCAUGUAGAUUGAAGACUCGUAGAUGUCGUCAUAAGAAGAGUAGAUCAAAUGGAGGAGAGUCAGGUCAAAAGAGGUAGAAGAAGACCUAGGAAAAUUAUAAAAGAAACCAUUACAAUUAAUUUAUAGAUCAAUGAGUUUGAUCCAAAUAUGGUGUAUGAUAGAACAUUAUGGUGUAAUUUUAUCCGUAUAGCCGACCCACUUGAUAGGAUAAGGUUUAGUUGUUGUUGAUGUUGAAAAUAGUAUGUAUUAAAUGUAGAUAUUAUUUAGCAAUUAUUAAGCCUUCAAAUAAUAAAGUAAUAUUGAAUUCUAACACAAAUAUAAUUACUUUUGAAUAUUCUGACUCUGAUAAUUUGAAGUUCGACCGUGAAGUAAUUAAGUAUACCCUAACACCUAACAUAUAAUUGUUUCAUCCCACAAUCAAACGCGGGUUCUUCCAAACAAUAUGUUGACUCUUAAAUUUUAUUCAACCGAAUCAAGUUCAAAAUACAAAUUUCAUUCAAAAUUCGAAAUACAAACGUUUACCCAAAUAUAGAAAACUAUGAUAUUCCGCCAAUUUGAAUAGAAGUACAACAGGAUUUGUCAUACAGUAUAGAUUAAAAGGUAUAAGAAUCUUAUUGAUAUGUACAGAAAAGGUAUGGACCAAGUCAAUAAACCGACAUUAAUGGCAACCAUGAUCUCAACCGCCACAACCACCUCCACACCCUCCGCCACAUCCACCUCCACCGUCUCCAUCUCCUCCGUCACCUCCACCACUGUACCCUCCGUCUCCGUGAUGACCGUGAUUUCCAGCUGAAGUUGUGUCAACAGGAGUCGUUGCUAUAGCAGCAGUCAUAAAAAUCAUGUUACCAUCUUUGGCACCGCUAUCACCUCUAUAUUUUGUGGCGCUAGCUUUAGAAGCAUGCAUGGCCUUAAAUCCUCCACCGUUCUUGUAUGUGUUAUUAUAAUCUCUUUUCUUUCCAUGUCGUGAGCAAAAGUUUCCCAUAGCUAUAUGUUGUUGGGUUCAAAGAUUUAGUUUCCGAUAAAGCUUUCUUAUCCUUUAUAUAUAGUAUAAUUUAUGGUCAAGACCGUGUUUACAAGAAAAAUUCUAUGAAGUUCUACGCAAUUAAUAUGAGAACUAGUCGCAUGACGUUAUAAUAACUACCUAAAGAAGCAUGACUUUUUUUAAAGUCAUGCUAUCAAGACUUUAAAACAAUUUAUUUUUGUACCGAAAAAAAAAAAACAAUUUAUUUAGGG
rnacentral:lncRNA from 1 species